rnacentral:misc_RNA from 1 species
AAACAAGUAAAAAAAAUUAGUUUUAAUUAAAGAAAAUUUUGAAAUUUACAAAACUGAAAAUUUUUUGCCAUAAACACCAUUUGAUGCGUGCGAACCAAUGCAGGUGAGAAAUUGUUGGCUGCCCAACUGCGCGAAUGGCCAUACCCAAACGUGUGUCGGUGGCCGGCGAUCUUCCUCCUGCUGUGGCGUCGUCCGGCGAGCUUGACUGGAGCAGAUCCAAGGCUGUAAAAGCCGUGCAAUCUGAUCGCAGAUGGUUCGCGCAUUGUGGCUGGAGGUUCACUGCAGCUGCUGGCGUGUUCCAGUGGCGUCGCCGGAACCGGAAAGGGCCGUGGAGAGGGUCCUCGUCGGCCGCUGGACGCGCUGUAGCUUGGCGGCAUAAGGUGUGGCUGCUGGGUUUUGGAAAACCAGCUUGAACGUGGAGAAGAAAGGGCUCAUGUUGCUGCCCUUGAUCUUCACAGAUAUUACGGUUUUGCCACUUUCAGCCUUCCCUUAUUUUCGUGGAAAUUGCAGUUUUGCCACCAUUGCAGGCGGUCUUGGUUUUCAGAAAAAUUACAAGAAUGCUAUCUUAAAAGCUGCCCUUGUUGUCCCUCAAUAUUACAAUAUUGCCACCAGUUUUUGUAAUUGUAAUUGGGUUCUAAUUUGGGUUAAAUUACAAUAUUGC